rnacentral:rRNA from 1 species
UACGUAGGGUGCGAGCGUUAAUCGGAAUUACUGGGCGUAAAGCGUGCGCAGGCGGUUCGUUAAGUCAGAUGUGAAAGCCCCGGGCUCAACCUGGGAACUGCAUUUGAAACUGGCGGGCUUGAGUGUGGCAGAGGGGGGUGGAAUUCCGCGUGUAGCAGUGAAAUGCGUAGAGAUGCGGAGGAACACCGAUGGCGAAGGCAGCCCCCUGGGCCAACACUGACGCUGAGGUGCGAAAGCGUGGGGAGCAAACAGG